CUGUUUUCAUCUUUUGGGAGGCGGAAGGCAUUUUUAACCUCAAUUCUCCUUCUUACUUUCUUUCUCUCUAAUAUUCUAUAACUUCGCUAGCAUUUUAUUGAAUACAUUAAAGCAAACAAUGGGAUAAUCUGGUUAGAUAUAGGAGGGAGACAGAAAUAUGACAUUUUAAGAUACUGACAGAGGAAAAAAAUCUUUAACUCUUAGUUAAGAAGUGUGAGAAUAGUAAAAGUGCAGCACUACUGGAGGACAUGUGUGUGGUUUUAAAAUUCACCAACUGUAUAAAGAGAGAUCCCAAAUUUCUUGCAACUAAAAAGAUUUCACUUAUCCAGUUGCAUGUUGUUUGUGAAAUUGUUAGUUUAAAAUAGCAGUCCUCUGUGGUGGGUUAUCUAGGAUGUAAAGUAUUGUCUCUCAAUCAAUCUGAUGAUUUCAGAGGACUGUUAUAAUCAGCAGCUUGAGGCUAUUUUAUUAAUAGAGCUGAAAAGGCUCAUCUAAGAUUUAAGAAUUUCUUAAAUUCUUAAAUUUAAGAAAUUUAGUUCUCCAUCCUCAAUUUUCCAACCCAACAGAAGCCAUUUCACAGCAGUGGGGUAACCCUGCUUUCUGAUGUCUAACCUGGCGGUACAUGGCUGAUGCCCCAGUCUCAGCUUUGGCAGUCCCACCCAGGCUGCAGGAGGCUCAUCUGCUCUACCCCAUUUGGGGUAAAGGGAAAGUAGGUGGGGCUGGCCCAGGAGACAAGCAAGAGAUGGGGGUCACAGGAGGAGGCACACACCUCCGUCAACAGUCAGCUCCUUCUGACCAGGCUGGAAAUGGUUUUAACAGGCGGUAAAAUUUCAUCUUGCGGUGUCAAAUUGGGGUCAUUUUGGGGUUAGAGUUCUCAGUGUCCGAGAGGAGCUGUCCAGCUGCGUGGGGAC
rnacentral:lncRNA from 1 species